rnacentral:tRNA from 1 species
UUCAUUUUAGUUUAAAGAGAAUUUUUGUUUUGUAAUCAAAAGGUAUAUAUGAAU